rnacentral:tRNA from 1 species
CCUUUGGUAGCUCAGUUGGUAGAGCGGUGGACUGUAGAUCCAUUGGUCGUUGGUUCAAAUCCGGCCCGGAGGA